UGCCUCUCAGGAUUGCACCUGGGGAGUUUCCAAUACUCUACCAGUCUUGGCUACAGGAGGGAGAGUCAAGCAGAGGCCUAGCCAUUCCAUUCCUAGCUUGGGAAAUGGCUAGCGAGUGGUAGGCAAUCUGCUAAAAGU